rnacentral:rRNA from 1 species
GUCUACGGCCAUACCACCCUGAACGCGCCCGAUCUCGUCUGAUCGCGGAAGCUAAGCAGGGUCGGGCCUGGUUAGUACAUGGAUGGGAGGAGAGGGAAAGGUAGGAGAGCUGGUGAUC